UUGUCAGGCACUACAAUAAAGGCAAUUGCAGGCAAUUUAAAUUAACGACGAAUCACAAUGUUUUCUUGGUGUGCCGAUUGCAAAACACACUCGCACACACACACAGCCAGACGCACAGACACAGACUCACACACAUACACAGAGGCAUACACAGAAACAUACAGAGAGACAUACACAGAGACACACACACCCCCAGACACACAGGGCCAAGCACGUGGAGCACAGGCCAAUUGGCCAUAAAAAAGAAGUAGAUAUCGUAGCAGUCGCGGAGUCACCCAGCGAGCACAUAAACAGCCGUGCAGCUACAGUGAGGAGGGAAAAUGGCAUAGUCGGUGUAAUCGGAAAACGUUGCAGAGCACUUGGAAGACUGGGGGAAAAAUAAAAACAAAUAUCAAGCGAGCAAGCGGCAAGAUAGAUAGACAGGCAGGCCGGCAGGCUGGCAGGCAGGCAGGCAACGACCACCCACACAUUCGAGCAAGAUCAUCCUUGCCGCCUGCGCAGUGUCAAAUAGGCUGCAACAACAACAACAGCAACAAUAAGAGCAUUGCGUGGAGCAGGCACACUAUAUAGACCGACAGUUGUUGAGCAAUUACGAAUGCGCCGUGGCAAGUGACCCAGCAAACGUCAAACACAAACGAAGAGUAAAAAGUGCGGCAGGAAAUCGAAGUCGUAAGUCGGCGACGUGGCCGUUGACGAUGAUAUAGCACCACAACAACAACAUGAACCACAACUACAACAACGAUGCGACGAAUGCCUGCCCAGGCUUUUGCUCAUUCAUAGAAGCUGAAGCUGCAGCCCCAACUGCUGUUGCACGUCGCGGGCGUAGAAAGUUUUGUGCAACAUGCCACAUGCAGCAGCGGCAGGUCGCAUACACAAUCGCCUCCACGUCGGUGGCGGCAGUCGGCAGGUAACCAGGCUUGCACUAUUGCCAGCAUACAA